AAGCUCGUAGUUGAAUUUCGGGAUCAAUGGGUUGGUCAUGCCCUCGGUAUGUACUGAUUUCAUUGGUUCUCACCUUCUAAGGAACCAUGAUGUCAUUUAUUUGAUGUUGUGGGAAAUUAGGACUGUUACCUUGAAAAAAUUAGAGUGUUUAAAGCAGGCUAACGCUUGAAUACAUUAGCAUGGAAUAAUGAAAUAGGACAUCCGAUUCUAUUUUGUUGGUUUCUAGGAUCGAUGUAAUGAUUAAUAGGGAUAGUUGGGGGCAUUAGUAUUCAAUUGUCAGAGGUGAAAUUCUUGGAUUUAUUGAAGACUAACUACUGCGAAAGCAUUUGCCAAGGAUGUUUUCAUUAAUCAAGAACGAAAGUUAGGGGAUCGAAGACGAUCAGAUACCGUCGUAGUCUUAACCAUAAACUAUGCCGACUAGGGAUCGGAUGAUGCCUAUUUUUUAAUGACUCAUUCGGCACCUUACGGGAAACCAAAGUGUUUGGGUUCCGGGGGGAGUAUGGUCGCAAGGCUGAAACUUAAAGGAAUUGACGGAAGGGCACCACCAGGCGUGGAGCCUGCGGCUUAAUUUGACUCAACACGGGGAAA
rnacentral:rRNA from 1 species